AUGCAUGAGUAUAGAAGAGAAGAUCUCCUUUUGGUGCAAUUGAUGGUAAAUCAAAAUGAUAAUUAUGAGGAGAUUGAAGAUUCAUGUUCAUCUAAAGGCAUGAUUAUGAUUUCAAUUGGCAAAAAAAAAUUGAAAAUCGCAUCAUUGAAGAUGUUAGGAGCUCGAAGUGUGUGUUUUGGUUUCAAUUCUAGAAGGGUAAGCACUUCUAGAGGUUUAAAAUUGAUUCUACAAUGA